UAAUAUUAUAAAUGCGAAAGUGUGUUUGUGUGUUGGUUUGUCUUUCAAUUACACCGCAACUGAACAACGGAUUGACGAGAUUUU